GUUAGUAUUUCCUGCAGCAGCUCAUAAACUAAAAUUUAAACCACUAGGAAAAAUAAAGAAAAUCCAGCUUCCCUGCCUGGUAGGCUCUAGUGCAACCUUGCCUUUGAGCAACAACAGCACAGCAAUACAAUAAUUCUGAGGUCUGAGGACUCCUUGGCAGAAUAUGGGAAGACAUGCACUGUGACACUUUAUUUGCUGACUUCUUGGACCUCAUCUAUCCUUGGAAAGAAAAAUGUUGGCACCUUCUAGUAAGCACUGACACAGAGGAACUGUUUUCAUGUGUUCUACUUCAUCACCCACUGCAUACACCCUGGGGAAGGAGAACAAAUGAAGCAUGCAAGGGAAAGGAAAUCCAUCAAACCCCUGAAUGCUGGGAGAGCUCUUCUGCUGGAAGGAGUGACAAGUUAGGCUCCACAAAUAAACUUCAACAUAUCCAGGAGGAACAGUGUUACAUCACACAGGUUCCUAUGGAAUCAAGACAAGGAUUUUUGGCAUGUAGGAAACACACCUGGCUUCACCAGUGUGACUGAGACAUUGAGCAGUGCAACACAAACUGCUUGUAUUUAACACAUGAACAACCACUGUGGACUGUUCUGUGAGACUGGCAGGAAAUUCUGUACCCACCUCACUGGGACAGCUAUUCCCCACUGAUCAAAAGCAGAUGGGGAAAGGCCUGGGCAGCUCUUGGGAAGGCAGCACAGGAAAGGCUUCAGAAGGAAUCAGCCCUCUGAGGGUGUGCAGAGGCUCCUGCCAGAGCUGGAAGCAGACUUGUGCCUGUCUGGGGAAACACAGCUGCAAAGAAAUAAUCCUUUCAUAUUAAAACUAAAUGAAGUUGAUUCCAGUGAACCACAUCAAGAUCCUGAAGUUCUACCACAGCUCAGCUGUCUUU
rnacentral:lncRNA from 1 species